rnacentral:snoRNA from 1 species
GUGAUGUGUGGUGACCUCGCCCGAGCCGUGAGGAUUUUGCCGAGUGCUGA